UACGGAGGGGGGCUAGCGUUGUUCGGAAUUACUGGGCGUAAAGCGCACGUAGGCGGCUUUGCAAGUCAGAGGUGAAAGCCCGGGGCUCAACCCCGGAAUUGCCUUUGAGACUGCAUCGCUAGAAUUGUGGAGAGGUAAGUGGAAUUCCGAGUGUAGAGGUGAAAUUCGUAGAUAUUCGGAAGAACACCAGUGGCGAAGGCGACUUACUGGACACAUAUUGACGCUGAGGUGCGAAAGCGUGGGGAGCAAACAGG
rnacentral:rRNA from 1 species